GUCGUCGUCGGUCUCGCUGUAGGCUUCGUGCAGGCCUCUCCGGGGGCCCGGCCCGCGCGGCCGUGCCGGGCCGUGUGCCAGGUCUGGCCUGUCAUCACCCGCCUGGACCCGGAGAUUCGCCUCCUCCAGGGUCUCCCUGCUCCAGCCCUUACCGGCUAUGGCCACCAGAGGGCGCCAGUGAUCACCUGACUGAGGGAGAGAGACACCAGGGGCCACACGCACAGAGGAGCCGCCACGUGAGCGAGAAGGUGACCAUCUGCAAGCCCAGGAGAAAGGCCUCAGCAGGAAUCAGCCCUGCUGGCACCUUGAUCUUGAACCUCCAGUCUGCAGACCGGGUGAGAAGAAGUGUCUAUUGCUUAAGCCGCCCGGCCUCUGGCACUUCGUGACACAUCGGAGCAGAUGACAUCUGACCUGGG